GGUGAACAGAUGAUACCUCAAGUGUAGGAGAAGCUGGAUAUCUUCUGGGAUUCUUCCUUUCCAUUGAAGAAGUUAGACGAAGACAGGAGCUGACUGUAGCAGGAGGUGGGCUGCAGAAGCAGGAAGCUAAUGACAGGGGAUUUUCUUCUUGCACCCUUGUUCACCCUCCUUUACCAUGCCCCCAUCCUCCAGCUAAGAACUCACCACAGCCGUCCUUACACAGGACACAGAGAAAUAAAGCUGGAGCCGAAAUGGAAGCUUCCUCCCUGCUGGAUAGCAUUCAUGGUACUGAAAGGUAUGAAAAAAAGAGGACAUUAUGAGGAGAAGAGUGCUGAAUGGGAGAAAUGCUGAACAAGAAGUUGAAAGCACCUAAUGACAAUACCUUCAAGAAGGUAAGAAAUAGAAGGAACAAUAGGCAUAAUAGGCAAGAGAGAAUGAAUUAAAUGUUGGGCUAUUGUGGAUGUAGGAACAGUAGGCAA